UGAAUAAACAUCCUAUAGAGAAAGGCUAUUAAGUGGCAGUCUGGUAAUACAAAUAAAAUAACAUGGUAUUUUUGAGUUACCAUGGUAAAUACAGUACUAACAUGACCUGUUAUUAACACGUGGAAACCGCUUCUGAAUAAAAUGAAUGUCAUUCGUUCAUGCAAAUUCUUCCCAGCUAACACACACAGUACCAGUUAUGUGAUUUAUCGGUACUGUACCUUUAUUUCUCACGUGUGCAUGCAGCAAACACAGCAUAACAUCUGACACCCCAGAACCAAAACACUAAACACGCCCCUGUCUAUCUAUCUAUCUAUCUAUCUAUCUAUCUAUCUAUCUAUCUAUCUAAUAAGUGCAUAUUUCUGUAUAUCUGUGUGUAUUUAUGUAUAUACAUGUAUAUACAUUUCAUUACAAAAAUCACUAGUACCCAAUUUAAAUAUCUUGAAUUUACCGUUUAUUGAGUGUAACAUUAAAAAAAUUAAGCUUAUCGUAUUUUUUGCCUAUUUACCUUCUGUUUGUGCUGGAUUGAACUGGCCAUCACUCCACAGCUGUAUAUUAAGCAUGAAAUCUGUUUUUAAUAAGAUUUUUAAUAAGUCAGUUUGUUGCAUCGUGCCACAUUUUGCAUCCUGUGCAAAAGUCGGCCUUUCGGGUCUGGUUAGGGCACGGUAUAACACGAUACACAUCACUGAACCGCAGAGCUUGGGAAAAGAAACGGCCGUAUCAUUACACAUUUGUCGGCCGUGAUGAAAAUGCGGCUGCACAUUUAUUACAUUUCAGCACUUUUUUUCUGGCCUCCAGCACCUUAAAAAUUGCUUCCAUUUUUUUUUUUAUCCACAGAGCGCAGGGUAACCUAUUGAUAUGCUCAUGAAGCCCAGACUGGAGUUAGUUGAUAAUAUUUCCCGUUGGUGUUUGGCAAAUACAAGGGUUAAACGCCGUGUUUGGACAAACAUGCUUGGCAUUUGAUGAGUUUUCCUAACUGUCUGGGCACAUCCGUCUCUCUUGGGUUGUUGAUGUUAAUGCUGUCCGUCUCUGGCAGCACUAAGCUAGAAGCAUAUGCAAAUCUACUAUCUCUGACUGCAGUUUUAUAAGAUUAUCUGAGGAGUAGCAUUUCCAUAAACGGAUUUUUAUUGCAGAACAUGAUUCAAAUGUAGUCUAAUGUUCCCUAUUAAUGUAACUGGCAUUCCGGCCAGCAAUAACUCACAGGAGCCUCUAUAAUGACCUGGUUCCUGCCGUUUUACUUCACAUGAAACCGCUGACACUGUCCUCCCUUUUCUCCACUCUCUGUCUCUCUCUGCUGCAGGGACUCUUGGCCGUUCCGGCCCUCUUUUAAACUCCAGCCCUCGUUAAGAAAAGGGAGCAGCGGAGAGGCUGGUAGAGAAGUUGAGCUCGAGGACUUGCACGAGGACGAACCACCCACCUCUUGAGAGCCUUCAUGGAUCUUGAAGAGUUCCUCAUUGUCCUUCCAUCCCUUUGAGCAGAAGAUGAUCAUGACCCAAACUGCUCCACUACACUCCGUUUCCACCGACUUGAGGCUUACCUUGACAUUGAACUGGAUUCUGCUAUUGCUAGUCAUGCUUCAGGCUUUUCAUCUUUGUGCACAAGAAUCACUUUUCCUGCCUAUGGUUCUCACGAAACCUGUCCUUGAUAAUCUGGCGGAAAACAAUUUUCUCCUUCAUACAGUACAAUUUGGAUCUUUCCAUCCUGGAAUUCCUAAUAGGCCAGGUUUGUGUGAAAAACAGUGCAUAAGACUACAGCAUGGACAAAAGAUGCUCCUACUUGGUGAGAUGUCGAUGCCAUCAUAACUUCUGUACAUGUGUAGAAAAUAACAGCAAUGGCGUCUUGCCUUUUUUUGUAUAUGUUAAUGUGCAAUUCUUAACCCUAUCCAUCGCGGCAUGCCUGAAAUACGGCCUUCUCCAUAUAAUUGGUUCCAUAUCUCUGUUGCUUUCCUUUUUUUUUUUUCACACCGUAAAAUUUCCUCAUUUCAUUCAGAUACGAUAUAUCAACACACACAGCGUCGUACUGUGAAACAAAGGGGCUUAUGUAACUACUAGACACUAAAAGAGGCUCUCGUCUGCACAUUCAGUCAAGUCUAGAAAACAGGGCUUUUCUCAUACAGCGUGUUUGAGCGCUCGGUAUAACCAUUAUCUGGAACAGGGCUUAUUUUCCGUGUUCGUGAAUGUCGCAAAUACCGCAUUCGGAUCGCACCGGAUGCAGGGCUCUCGCGUCGCAGCGCUUUGUCUCUCCGCAGGAACAGAAUGUGUCAUUGUUUACCGAGUCUUCACAUUCCAAAAGGCCUAUUUGUCAGUCAGCAGCGCUAACGGGCCCUCGAACUCACACGCAGGCAUGCCACCGAGGCUAGCGAGUGUGCGCCGAUGCGGAAAGAGAGGGAGUCACUUUCACUCAUAACAGACAAGCCAAUUGAGGGAAGGAUCUGAAUACGGUGUUUAGCCGUGCAGCGAAAGUGAACUGCCAUUCAAUGUCAUCACGGUCCCUCUCGGCCUGUAUUAACUCCGUCCAAAACAAUACGCCCUUGUUUACAUCGGAUCGUCUGCCAGGCGAACCCAUCAUCCCUUGUUUUUGAACCGCGCAUUGAAAGUACAAAGAGAGUCCAAAUGGACACGUUGACGGUCGAGAUAUUUAAUUACCAGAGUGGAGCACUCAUAUUAAUUCGAUUAUUAUGAAAUUGUCACUGUGCGCGUUUCAAUUUAAAAAGGACAGUUCACCCAGAUAUUAAAUGGCAUUAAAUGUCAGUCUGUUUGGAUCAACACAAAAACUUGCCUACCACUGUUUUAUGAAAAUGAUAUGAUGAUAUAUCUGUUCAGAAGCAGAAAUACCAUAUUUACACUGGUAUUCUAAGUAUUGCACAGUCUUGUGUUUCGGAUGCCCAGUCGUCAGGGAGAAAAGGGAAGUCAAACCAUGUUUACAUGCAUUUUUGUAUUUAAAUGCUCAAAUAUUAUUGGCCAUUUUUCAGAGACUACAAACAAAAAGUUGCAUAAAUCAAAUUACAUUGAAAUUAGUAUUCAUCAUAUCAAAAAUUUCUCUUUAUGUGAACAGGCUUUUACUCUCUUUACUCCCUACUUCUGGAACACAAAAUGAGAUAUUUAGCAGAAUGUCCAAGCUGCACUUGUAUCCUACCAUUUCCCUUUGUUUAUAUAAAAAGAGCAGCUUUUUCAGGGUGAACUGCCCCUUUAAUUCCUUUUACGAGAAUAAAAGUGGACUCAAUCAGGUCAGCUGCCAAUUAUUUCCAGUAAACCGGUUACGCAAGGAGCCAGCGCUUACCGAUGCCACUCAUUUAGAGGACUCAUUAUUGCUUAUAUGAAGACGGAUUGAUAAACCACAGUGAACCACUUUCAUUAUAUUCUCACUAAUAUCCUGAGCAGAUGGUGGUCCAUUUUUCUGACUCCUACACAUUCUUCCCUUCUUCUCCCUCUCUCUCUCUCUCUCUCUCUCUCUCUCUCUCUCUCUCUUUCUCUCGAUGACCCUCUUUUAGGCGUACACUCUUUGUAGAUUGCUUCUUACCCAAAAACCGAAUUACACAGGAAAACCAUUUUCAGUGCCAAACAACUACUGUUUUUUGGGUCUGUUUAUAUGGAGUAUUUGAUUAAAUGGAGUCUUGUUUCUGUCAUGUAUUGAGAUUCUGUAUGUGGUACUCAGGGUCUGGACUCAGCUGUUCGGGGAAUACAGAGAGAUUGGAGUAGCAUAUUCUGUGUUCAGGAGCUCUAGGGUGUGUUUAUGUGUAGAAAUUCAUCAAAUGGUUUUAAAUGGUCCCCAAACGCAUUUGUCCAUUCUGUCUCAAAUGUACAAUAGUCUUGUCAGUUACUUCUUGAUGUAUGCUAUGCACCUGUUAGUGUCUUGACGUACGGCAUGUCCUUUAACUUAUAACCUUUUACAGACUUCCCUCUAGGUUUGUUAUUCCUUUUGAUAUCUGCGUGAGACGAAACGACUAAUGUUUAAACCCCUUUAAAUUGUUUCCUGCAGGACUUUUGUAUAAGCUAAACAUAUGCAGCAAGCCAAUAUGCCAUACCUCUGUCUGAGCGAUCGACUUGAGUGUGAAGGCUUUCUUUUUCCUUUUCCAGGUUUCGGCUCAUGUGCAAUAGAUGAGGUUUGAUCAUUUGUCUACCCACAUUUACAAAGGCUUCUCUCGUUUAGAGGAGGGGAGAAAAAUGUGGCCGUUUGUAGCUGCAAAACAUUCUUGCUAUCAAAGCAUUAUGCUUUUUUUAAUUUCCCUUUCUUGAUUUAAAAGUAUAUCAGAAUUGUAUAUAAAUCGUAGAACACUGUCUCACUCAUACCCACAGUUCGAACUGCCCAGUUAUUUGUGUCAGAGUGCCUGAUUUUACUGGUUAUUUAAAGACAUCUGUAUUCUGCUGCAUUGAUCUGAAUGUAAACAUAAAAAAAAAAAAAAAACCAGACAAAAAAGAGCAUGUCCCGAGAAAGCACUGAAUGCAACUCUUACUAUGUAAAUAUGUACCAAAGUAUAAAGCAUAUAAAGAUGCUAUUUUUUGCAUGCUUUUUGUACACAUAGACAUAAUCAAAGACAAUAAAAAUAUCACAGGUGA